GACGAACGCUGGCGGCGUGCUUAACACAUGCAAGUCGAACGGAAAGGCCCUGCUUUUGUGGGGUGCUCGAGUGGCGAACGGGUGAGUAACACGUGAGUAACCUGCCCUUGGCUUUGGGAUAACUUCAGGAAACUGGGGCUAAUACCGGAUAGGAGCUCCUGCUGCAUGGUGGGGGUUGGAAAGUUUCGGCGGUUGGGGAUGGACUCGCGGCUUAUCAGCUUGUUGGUGGGGUAGUGGCUUACCAAGGCUUUGACGGGUAGCCGGCCUGAGAGGGUGACCGGCCACAUUGGGACUGAGAUACGGCCCAGACUCCUACGGGAGGCAGCGGUGGGGAAUAUUGCACAAUGGGCGGAAGCCUGAUGCAGCAACGCCGCGUGCGGGAUGACGGCCUUCGGGUUGUAAACCGCUUUCGCCUGUGACGAAGCGUGAGUGACGGUAAUGGGUAAAGAAGCACCGGCUAACUACGU
rnacentral:rRNA from 1 species